CGUGAGACAGUUCGGUCCCUAUCCUGUGCGGGCGUAAGAUACUUGAGGAGAUCCGUUCUUAGUACGAGAGGACCGGAACGCCUAGACCUAUGGUGUAUCAGUUGUCGCACCAGCGGCAUUGCUGAGUAGCUAUGUCUAGAAAGGAUAAGUGCUGAAAGCAUCUCAAGCACGAAACCUACUCCAAGAUUAUGUAUCUCAUCCUUCGGGAGUAAGAACCCUAGAAGAUGACUAGGUUGAUAGGCUUUAAGUGUAAGCAUAGUAAU
rnacentral:rRNA from 14 species